AUGAUGUCAUGGCUGAAAGUCAAAUUGCUUAAUACGAGUUUCUCAUCUGCCUGGUCUCACCUCACCCCACUUCUCAGCUCCAGGCAAGACACAGGGCAUUCAGCUCUACAAACAACCUAUGCUCUUAUUUCUGGGUCUUUGCACACCGUCCCCUCUGAUGGAAAUAUCUCCCCUGAAGUCCUACCCGACCUAUGCCAGUAAGUCUUCCCUUCCUCCUUCCUCACCCAUAAGACUUUACUGGAAACAGAAGGUGUUCAGGCCCAAGGGAUAAGUCCUGGUCUAUUUCCCGGGCCCACUGUCAUUUGCUGUUUUCCUAAAGUUACAGCUAAAAUGGCCAUGUCACACAUUUUCUGGCCAAUGGCACCUUUGGGGGUUAAUUUUUCCUCCUGGAAGGCUUCUGUUUGGCAAUUGGCACGAGGUGUGGUGCUGCCACAACUUUCUCUGAGACUGUGCAACUCUAAGACGACAAGUCCUGGGAGAAUGGAGAGGAGGCAAAGUAAGAGCCUGGUUCCUGGGUGGUAUGGUUGACGCCACGAACAACACUUGAUACUGCCUGUCACCAGACUGCUUAUGUGAGAAAAUAGGCCCCCAUUUGUUUAUGCUAGUUAUUCCUUGCAGCUAAAAACAUUCCUAACAGAUCCAUCAGCCUCUGGGUUCUAACUUUUAAUAGGCCACCUUCUCCAGGAAAGCUCCUGGCAGCUAAGAACAGAUCAAAGGCCCCCUCCUCGUUGCAAUGGAUGCAUCGUGCCUUUAGUGAUCUUUGUACUGGUUCACCAGCCACGUGCCCCAGGAGGAUGAGGCAGGCAGCAGGGGCCCCAUGAGGUUCACCAAUUUAUUCCUAAACCAGUGAGGUUCACCAAUUUAUUCCUAAGCCAGUGUAUCUGUUGAGCACACAAGCAUACCCAUAGCUGACUACGGGCACAACCUCCUUGAAGGCAAAGACAGGGCCUGGCCCUCAUGAGCCUGCAGACAGUUGAACUGUGACCACAUGACCUCCAAGGAAGGGAUGGGUGUGUGUGAGGUGGGCGUCACUCUCCGCACUAGAACACAGCUCGGCUGCUUCCUGCACAGGAUGGCCUGCAUCACCUCAGAUGGGUAUCAUUCCGCUGGGUGACAGUUCCCUCUCUCUGCGAGAGCCCCACCCACCCCUGUGGUCUCAGUCAUCUGCGGUUUGGACGUGCCAAGCUGCACACAGGACAGU
rnacentral:lncRNA from 1 species